CAGUGAGGGAACCUUUCCCCUUUGUUCUGGUGAAAUCCCUGGAGAGAUGUGAGGACCCUCAGGACAGAGAUGAGACACUCAUACAGAAGGCCAAGUGGGGAAAGCGUGUAAGAUCAGUGAGGGAAAGAUUCAGCCUGGAAGCCAUUGCAUCCUGGGAGGGACUGGAGCCCAGAUGAAGGACUGUUGCCCCAGAGGAUCUCCUUUGUGCACUGCUGUGGCUGCUGCCGAAGUCUCCCUCAAAAAGAACAGGAAGGCUUUGAGUGAUGCCUGGGGCGGAUCGAUAAGAGAGGAAAUGAAGACAGGAUUUGGGGUGUUUUCCCUCUACUUUGCAUAUAUAGGUGUGAUUCAGGUGUCUUCGUUUGCUUUGCAGUGAGAGAAAGCAGCAGCCUGGGAACCACCUCCCGGAAGGGAAUGGAGCCCAGGAAAAGGACAGAUGAGUCACAGGAUCUCCUAUAUGCACCACUGUGGCUGCUGCCAAAAGAAAAAAGGCCCUGAGUCAGGCACAUACAGAAGACCAAGGCGGACUUCCGGUUUUCGUCGCAAAGGGAAGAGGGUCGAGAUGUGUGCCAGAGCCUCCUACUGAAGCCACUCAUGUAAAAAGAACAGCCAAACAACCAGGUGGCCACGCUGCUGGCUGAAGUUCUGGCACCUUCCAAACCAAGGCUCAGUCUUAGAACCAGUUUCUUUUGUUUGUUUGUUUGUUUGU